rnacentral:misc_RNA from 1 species
UCUCCGUUGGUGAACCAGCGGAGGGAUCAUUACAGAGUUGCAAAACUCCCAAACCAUUGUGAACGUUACCUAUCCCGUUGCUUCGGCGGGCGGCCCGGGCCCCGCGCCCGGCGCCCCCCGGCCCCCCGUGGGCGCCCGUCGGAGGUAAACCAAACCCUUGAAUUGCAUGGCCUCUCUGAGUCUUCUGUACUGAAUAAGUCAAAACUUUCAACAACGGAUCUCUUGGUUCCG